UACCACAGUUCCAACUGAUGAGGGCGAAACUAAAAUUGCAAGGCGCAGAGGCCCUACUAAGAUGAAUUCUGUUUUCACAAGAAGAUUAGAAGACAGACCAGAGUUGACCCUGAAUCAUGAGUUGCAGCCAGUGCAUGAAAAUAGUAAAAUAAGAUCGGAAUUUGGUAGUUUCUUGGGGACAAUUGGAAGACAAUGUGUGCCCCUAGAUUAUGUGAACUGGAGCCGAGUUCCCGAAGGAGAGAAGAUUGGCUGGUGGGAGUUUGUCAAGACAAAGUAUAUCAUUCCAGAGGAGGGAAAAGAUUGGGUUCUAAAGACCAUCUGUGAUGCAUGGAGGAUGCACAAAAGCCGUU